rnacentral:misc_RNA from 1 species
AACGGUCUAUACCUGCGGUACCUGCGGAGGGAUCAUUACAUGGCGGAGGAGGUGGGCACCUAGUAAAAACAAAACCCUAGGUGUGUUGCCUACCACGCUUUCUACCCUUGUCUAUUUGCACCUUUUGUCGUUCCCUCGGUGGGUCUUGAACCUGCCGGCGGCAACUUUCAAAAACCUUUUGUAGUUAGUAUCUAAUUCUUCUGAUCAAAUAUUCAAUCGUUACAACUUUCAGCAACGGAU